rnacentral:rRNA from 1 species
AUUGAACGCUGGCGGCAGGCUUAACACAUGCAAGUCGAGCGAGUGGCGGACGGGUGAGUAAUGUCUGGGAAACUGCCUGAUGGAGGGGGAUAACUACUGGAAACGGUAGCUAAUACCGCAUACCAUCGGAUGUGCCCAGAUGGGAUUAGCUAGUAGGUGGGGUAAAGGCUCACCUAGGCGACGAUCCCUAGCUGGUCUGAGAGGAUGACCAGCCACACUGGAACGGAGACACGGCCCAGACUCCUACGGGAGGCAGCAGUGGGGAAUAUUGAACAAUGGGCGCAAGCCUGAGGCAGCCAUGCCGCGUGUAUGAAGAAGGCCUUCGGGUUGUAAAGUACUUUCAGCGGGGAGGCGGUACCCGCAGAAGAAGCACCGGCUAACUCCGUGCCAGCAGCCGCGGUAAUAC